rnacentral:rRNA from 1 species
UACGUAGGGUGCAAGCGUUAAUCGGAAUUACUGGGCGUAAAGCGUGCGCAGGCGGUUGUGCAAGACAGAUGUGAAAUCCCCGGGCUCAACCUGGGAACUGCAUUUGUGACUGCACGGCUGGAGUGCGGCAGAGGGGGAUGGAAUUCCGCGUGUAGCAGUGAAAUGCGUAGAUAUGCGGAGGAACACCGAUGGCGAAGGCAAUCCCCUGGGGCCUGCACUG